rnacentral:rRNA from 1 species
UAGGGAAUCUUCGGCAAUGGACGAAAGUCUGACCGAGCAACGCCGCGUGAGUGAAGAAGGUUUUCGGAUCGUAAAACUCUGUUGUUAGAGAAGAACAAGGACGUUAGUAACUGAACGUCCCCUGACGGUAUCUAACCAGAAAGCCACGGCUAACUACGUGCCAGCAGCCGCGGUAAUACGUAGGUGGCAAGCGUUGUCCGGAUUUAUUGGGCGUAAAGCGAGCGCAGGCGGUUUCUUAAGUCUGAUGUGAAAGCCCCCGGCUCAACCGGGGAGGGUCAUUGGAAACUGGGAGACUUGAGUGCAGAAGAGGAGAGUGGAAUUCCAUGUGUAGCGGUGAAAUGCGGAGAAAUAUGGAGGAACACCAGUGGCGAAGGCGGCUCUCUGGUCUGUAACUGACGCUGAGGCUCGAAAGCGUGGGGAGCAAACAGG